CCGACCUUAGCUCAGUUGGUAGAGCGGAGGACUGUAGUGGUACCUACCCGUUGGGCCUUGGCCAUCCUUAGGUCGCUGGUUCGAAUCCGGCAGGUCGGA
rnacentral:tRNA from 1 species